rnacentral:rRNA from 1 species
UGGGGAAUAUUGCACAAUGGGCGCAAGCCUGAUGCAGCCAUGCCGCGUGUGUGAAGAAGGCCUUCGGGUUGUAAAGCACUUUCAGCGAGGAGGAAGGGUAGUGUGUUAAUAGCACAUUGCAUUGACGUUACUCGCAGAAGAAGCACCGGCUAACUCCGUGCCAGCAGCCGCGGUAAUACGGGGGGUGCAAGCGUUAAUCGGAAUUACUGGGCGUAAAGCGCACGCAGGCGGUUUGUUAAGUCAGAUGUGAAAUCCCCGCGCUUAACGUGGGAACUGCAUUUGAAACUGGCAAGCUAGAGUCUUGUAGAGGGGGGUAGAAUUCCAGGUGUAGCGGUGAAAUGCGUAGAGAUCUGGAGGAAUACCGGUGGCGAAGGCGGCCCCCUGGACAAAGACUGACGCUCAGGUGCGAAAGCGUGGGGAGCAAACA